rnacentral:lncRNA from 1 species
UGCUUCCACUACUUUUCCAAGAUAAUAAUAAAUCUUAAAUUUCUCAUAAAUUAGGUUUAAACAUUAAAACAAACAUGGAUGAUACAUGUCUCAAUGGUAUCUUUUGGAUGUACUUUUAACUGCGUGUCAUUAUCUUAUUUGGUCACUGGUCAAGACUCUGUUCGGCCAUCACAAGAUUUGGUCCAUGCUGACUUUUUUCUUAAUAAAGAAUAUACAAUAAGCAAGAGAGAGAACUCAAUGGUAGAAUAAUAAGUCUUAAGAGCUACUUUAUAAAUAAGCAGUCUGUAGCUGACAGUUUAUUCUUUAACCAUUCAAGUUGUAAUAUGAAGUACUACUCUUCCUU